AGGAGGCCCAUCCUGUAGUUAAAGGGGCAUUUGCCUAUAUAUCUGAGAGCUUAGGACUCAUGGUCUACCUGGGUCAGGCCUCUAGAAAAGUAGCAGUAGGAAUAAGCCUGAAUGAGUAGGAAGAGACUGAGUCCCAGGACUUGCUUAAUUCAGAUGCCAAACCAUGUUCUAAGGGGGUCUGGAAGGAGGAUUGUCAAUGUGAAGGCCUUUUAUUGAAAGAGAAGUAAUCACACCAAAAAAGUCGCUACCCUUUGACUAUUUCCCAUGUCUCACCAUUUUGCUUUUAAGCUGUGUCUGAUGUCUUUUCAUCCUUAAAAUUUUUGAAAAGAUGCCCCCACUUUUGAGAAUGAACUACUGUUGCCCCAACAUAAACAUACCAAGUAGACUUUCAUCUGAUAUAACAGCUCUGUGCCUGUUCAACGCAAAGAACCACCUUAGAAAGCCUCAGUAAGCCCUGCUUAGGUAUGGAGGUCGAGGCCUUAGGCCAGCGGAACCUUAAAAGCCGGGCUGAGGCAGAAGGGAGGCCGGACGGAAGGCAGACUUCCCAAACUACGCCAGGUGCAAGACUUCCGCCCCGCAGAGGCCUUGCCUCCACCCCCACCCUCCCCGUCAGCCCAGCUCUGGUUCCGCGCAGUCUCCUGGAAUGAUUUGCCGUCUCUAUGGCAACCCGGUAGCUGGCUUCUGAAGAUGGAGACCACUGAGUCUACCGAGGGAUCACAGUCGCGAUCUUUAGACGUACAGCCCAGCUCCGAAGGACUAGGGUCCAUUUUGGAUCCCUUUCCUUAUUGGGAUGGCUGUCAUAGGUCAGCCCUGGAAGCUGCAACCGCAGAAACUUCAGCAGCUGCUGCAGCCACUGCAGCCGCCUCCACUACCAAAGCAGCUGCGUUAUCUACAAAGACCCCAGCGCCCUACUCUGAACGGAGCCUUCUCAUGGAGCCCUCCUCUGAAAGUCUUCUUGGGGAGCGCUACACUGGACCCAGAUUUACCCACAAGAUAGGCCACGGGAGACUUGGCUUUGAGCCUGUCUCCGUUUCCCAUAUUGCUUGGAAUCCCUAUACUGCAAAUGACCUUAGCUCUAGCCGUGGUCCUGUUCCUGGCUCCAGCUCUGGCCCUGUUCCUGGCUCCAGCUCUGGCCCUGUUCCUGGCUCCAGCUCUGGCCCUGUUCCUGGCUCCAGCUCUAGCCCUGGUCUUGGCUUCAGCUCUGACCCUGGUCCUGGCUCCAGUUCUGGUCCUGGCAGUGGCUCUGGUCAAGGUCCUGGUGACGGCUCUGGUCGAGGCACUGGUCCUGCUCCUGCCGCUGAUUCUAGGCAUAGGCCAGGCUCUGGCCAGGGCCCUGGUUUCAGCUCCUCUGCUCCUUCAGGCUUCAGAAAACCCAGGGCAGAUCUGCUCCCUAAUUAUGCCUCCUGGAGUCACCACAGCCACUGGGAGCCUCAGAAACAACCCUGGAAAUUUUUGCAAGUCUCAGAACCUGGUGCCCGAGGGCUGUGGAAGCCCCCUGAGGUUGAAGGGACAAGUAAGGUUCUCAGUGAAACACUGCCACGGGGCCAGUGCCUUCUCUACAACUGGGAGGAGGAGAGAGCCACCAACCACCUGGAUCAAGUCCCAAGCAUGCAGGAUGGCUCUGAGAGUUUCUUUUUCCGACACGGACACCGGGGACUGCUGACCCUGGAGCCACAGUCACCCAUGUGCUCCAGCACCACCCAGAAAGACUCAUACCAGCCCCCAGGAAACCACUCUCAGCCAAUUCGAGGUAUGAAACAUGAGAGAAUGGGCCAGAGUGAGUCUAGCAGAGAAAAAAAGAGAGGAAUGUCUGAUGGGUGUAAGGGCAAAGCUCAGUUCUUCCUUUUCCCCAAUUUUUUUUCUUCUGGGCCUGUUCCUUAACCAGACUCCCCCCACUCUGUCCAUUCCCUGACCUCCCACAGGGAAGCGUGAAGCCAUGCUGGAGAUGCUCUUGCACCACCAGAUCUGGUGAGAGGCUGGGUGAAUGGGAAAGGGAGGGGGAGGACAAAAAUCAGGGGAGAAUGGCCUUGAUGCCCCCCAGGCCAAUGUAGUAAAGAGGUGCAGGCAGAGCAGGAACCCACAAGGAAGGACUCUGAGGUCAAGUCUGUGACACACCACGACUAUGGAAAGGAGCUGGUGCAAUCAGGGCCUCCUGCCCCAACAAAGGUAAGAACCCAUCCCACCCCACUUGUACAGCUGGGCCCUGACAGGCUGUGGGAAAGCAGCAGGCCCAGAGGUUGAGAGAGGGAGCUUCAGGCCAAGAGUUAUUCAGUAUAUCUCCCUCGCAGCCUCACGACUACCAUAAGGAACAGCCUGAAACCUUCUGGCUACAGAGGGCACCACAGCUACAGGACACGGUCAAAUAGCCUCUGCUGUCAGGAAAUGGGAAGCAAGACAACAGGGCUGCCCUGAAGAGCACAGAAGCUGGUGGGGACGUCAACGAGGCCCAAUGAAAUGAGCCUCAGACAGCCUGAAGUGUCAAAGGUAAGAAAGCAGGCACUUGGCUUUGUUAAUUGUACUGAAGCUGUGUAAGAGAAGGUCCUUGUUUUUAGGAACUAUACACUGACCUGUUUAGGGAUAAAGGGGCACUGUGGGGCUUCCCUGGUG